UACGUAGGGGGCAAGCGUUGUCCGGAUUUAUUGGGCGUAAAGAGCGUGUAGGCGGCCAGACAGGUCUGCUGUGAAAACUCGAGGCUCAACCUCGAGACGCCGGUGGAAACCGUCUGGCUAGAGUCCGGAAGAGGAGAGUGGAAUUCCUGGUGUAGCGGUGAAAUGCGCAGAUAUCAGGAAGAACACCCGUGGCUAAGGCGGCUCUCUAGUACGGUACUGACGCUGAGACGCGAAAGCGUGUGGAGCGAACAGG
rnacentral:rRNA from 1 species